CUUCACCUUUUUUCCGGCAGCUUUGCAUGUAAAUAUUAAUCUGAUAAGCAACUUUUUAUUAGCACCAUUUGGCAAGCCUUCGAGGACCAUGAUAUGUUGCUAUGUGACUAUUCAUCAGGGAUAGGUGGAAGUCAAAAUGUGUCGGACAUUUAAUCUAUUUUAUCCAUGAAAACACUCAGCCAGGUUCAGUUUACCUGGCACUGGAUACGUCAGCGGUCCAAGGGGAGCAUGACCACCGGUAGCUCCAGGCGAAAGAUGGCGGGAGUUCAGAGGGAAACCACAAUCAAUUCAUCAGUUUCAGCCCGGCGACAAAUCUGUGGCGCACUAAUGUCAUUGUUGGUUUGAAAAUGACUCGUCAAACUGAGACUUUAUGUACUCCCUAUCAACAUUUUGGACAUACAGUUACCUGUUAAUUUACGGCUAACUUCAUCGACUUGAUUGACAAGUUUGAACGCACUUGGUCCAGAAGCUGCUCUCCUAAAGGCCCUGCCGCAAGAUUUAUACGACGCCACCGAGGUCUUAAACGUUCCUCCCUGAAGAUGAAUGUGAGGUUAUUGGGCAGCUUUCAGUGUUUCAAAAUGAUCCCCGAUGACUACAUGGCAGAGGUACAGUUGACAAUUUGUACCAUUUUGAUUUUAAAUGUUUGAACAGAAUGUAACCACAGAAAUCUCAAAUGGUGAUCAAAACCAGCAGCUCACUCAGCAGCUAUGUUUGUGUUCUUAAACUGUAUUUCUCUUUUGUGUUUAUUUUUAUGCAGGGUGAGCUAAAGUGCAAUAACCUCACUUCAGGUCGCCUGAUUUCACAUGAGGCAGUCGUUCAUCACCUCAGUUCUGGAGUCGCCCUCCAAGGCAGCAGUGGUAUCUGUUGUGGUAACCAAUCUGGACAGCGCUAAUCCACACCGUGUGAUGUGGAGGUCUACACUAUAUGUACGCCUGCCCGAGCCUGACCCCUGUAGUGGGCUGCCGCACCAAAGUCCACGUUCCAAAGUUACAGAGCUCCUGCAGUGAUUCUGGCAUGGCUUCAGAGGAUGACAACCGAUGGUGGGGGAGCUUCAAGUGGAGGAAAUGUCCAGAAGUCCAGACGCCUGCCGUGCUGGGUCCCAGGUGUGCAUCCUUUCAUGGACAUAAUGUGUUCUCUUUUUUUUUUCCCCCCAUGUCUCUUUUAUGCAUUCUGGGUGAAUUAGCAUUUGAUGUAAGUGCAGCAACGACAGGGGACUGUAGUAGAGUGAAAGGUUAAUGGAGAAAUGUCAACCACAGAUGACUGGAGGUACCAGGGCAAAGCAGGGGAUUAUGCCCAGCUAUGCUAGGACACUAUUACUGUAGGCUCAUUCUUAUUCACCUUGUGCAAGCACUAAUUGCACAAGCAUAGGACUGUACUUACGAUUAGUGUGAACAGUGACUGACUGGCAGGAAGCAUUUAAUCUACUUACUGAUUGAUGAUACGAAUGAAGAUAUCUAAUAUCGGCUCUGUUAUGUGCCAUGUUAAAAGUGUCUAAAGCAAAAGGCUAUAGUGUAGCUGCCAUUAGCAAUGAUUAGUGAGGUCUCAAAC